rnacentral:rRNA from 1 species
AUUGAACGCUGGCGGCAGGCCUAACACAUGCAAGUCGAGCGGUAACACAGGGAGCUUGCUCCCGGGUGACGAGCGGCGGACGGGUGAGUAAUGUCUGGGAAACUGCCUGAUGGAGGGGGAUAACUACUGGAAACGGUAGCUAAUACCGCAUAACGUCGCAAGACCAAAGAGGGGGACCUUCGGGCCUCUUGCCAUCAGAUGUGCCCAGAUGGGAUUAGCUAGUAGGUGGGGUAAUGGCUGACCUAGGCGACGAUCCCUAGCUGGUCUGAGAGGAUGACCAGCCACACGGGAACUCAGACACGGUCCAGACUCCUACGGGAGGCAGCAGUGGGGAAUAUUGCACAAUGGGCGCAAGCCUGAUGCAGCCAUGCCGCGUGUAUGAAGAAGGCCUUCGGGUUGUAAAGUACUUUCAGCGGGGAGGAAGGUGCUGAGGUUAAUAACCUCAGCAAUUGACGUUACCCGCAGAAGAAGCACCGGCUAACUCCGUGCCAGCCGCCGCCGUAAUAC